GUCUUGCUCUGUCAUCCAGGCUGAAGUGCAGUGGCGCGAUCUUGGCUCAUUGCAUGUCCGCCUCCCAGCUUCAAGCAAUUCCCCUGUCUCAGCCUCCUGAGUAGCUGGGAAUACAGGUGCGUGCCACCACACACAGCUAAUUUUUUGACAUGUAAAGAAUUACUCUCAAUGACUGUGUGGCAGACAGUCUAUGAAGGUGCCACCCUCCCCAUCCCUGCCUUCUGGAGUCAUACCUUCUCUUUAGUGUGG
rnacentral:lncRNA from 1 species